rnacentral:rRNA from 1 species
GAUGAACGCUGGCGGCGUGCCUAAUACAUGCAAGUCGAGCGAAUGGAUUAAGAGCUUGCUCUUAUGAAGUUAGCGGCGGACGGGUAAGUAACACGUGAGUAACCUGCCCAUAAGACUGGGAUAACUCCGGGAAACCGGGGCUAAUACCGGAUAACAUUUUGAACCGCAUGGUUCGAAAUUGAAAGGCGGCUUCGGCUGUCACUUAUGGAUGGACCCGCGUCGCAUUAGCUAGUUGGUGAGGUAACGGCUCACCAAGGCAACGAUGCGUAGCCGACCUGAGAGGGUGAUCGGCCACACUGGGACUGAGACACGGCCCAGACUCCUACGGGAGGCAGCAGUAGGGAAUCUUCCGCAAUGGACGAAAGUCUGACGGAGCAACGCCGCGUGAGUGAUGAAGGCUUUCGGGUCGUAAGACUCUGUUGUUAGGGAAGAACAAGUGCUAGUUGAAUAAGCUGGCACCUUGACGGUACCUAACCAGAAAGCCACGGCUAACUACGUGCCAGCAGCCGCGGUAA